rnacentral:rRNA from 1 species
ACGCAGCGAAAUGCGAUACGUCUUGCGACUUGCAGAAUCCAGUGAAUCAUCAAAACUUUGAACGCAUCUUGCGCUUCCGGGAAAUUCCUGGGAGCAUGCUUGUCGGAGUGUCUGUU